CCUACGGGUGGCAGCAGUGGGGAAUAUUGGACAAUGGGCGAAAGCCUGAUCCAGCCAUGCCGCGUGUGUGAAGAAGGCCUUCGGGUUGUAAAGCACUUUCAGUGGGGAAGAAAGCCUUGGGGCUAAUACCCUCGAGGAAGGACAUCACCCACAGAAGAAGCACCGGCUAACUCCGUGCCAGCAGCCGCGGUAAUACGGAGGGUGCGAGCGUUAAUCGGAAUUACUGGGCGUAAAGCGCGCGUAGGCGGUCUGAUAAGCCGGUUGUGAAAGCCCCGGGCUCAACCUGGGAACGGCAUCCGGAACUGUUAGGCUAGAGUGCAGGGGAGGAAGGUAGAAUUCCCGGUGUAGCGGUGAAAUGCGUAGAGAUCGGGAGGAAUACCAGUGGCGAAGGCGGCCUUCUGGACUGACACUGACGCUGAGGUGCGAAAGCGUGGGUAGCAAACAGGAUUAGAUACCCUUGUAGUC
rnacentral:rRNA from 1 species